AUUGAACGCUGGCGGCAUGCCUUACACAUGCAAGUCGAACGGUAACAGAUCUUCGGAUGCUGACGAGUGGCGAACGGGUGAGUAAUACAUCGGAACGUGCCUAGUAGUGGGGGAUAACUACUCGAAAGAGUGGCUAAUACCGCAUGAGAUCUACGGAUGAAAGCAGGGGAUCGCAAGACCUUGUGCUACUAGAGCGGCCGAUGGCAGAUUAGGUAGUUGGUGGGAUAAAAGCUUACCAAGCCGACGAUCUGUAGCUGGUCUGAGAGGACGAUCAGCCACACUGGGACUGAGACGCGGCCCAGACUCCUACGGGAGUCAGCAGUGGGGAAUUUUGGACAAUGGGCGCAAGCCUGAUCCAGCCAUGCCGCGUGCGGGAAGAAGGCCUUCGGGUUGUAAACCGCUUUUGUCAGGGAAGAAACGCUCUGAGUUAAUACCUCGGGGUAAUGACGGUACCUGAAGAAUAAGCACCGGCUAACUACGUGCCAGCAGCCGCCGUAACAC
rnacentral:rRNA from 1 species